GGNAAUGUAGCUUAGUAGUAGAGCAUUUACAUAGAUUCUCAAGGUCCUGAGUUCAAGCCCCAGCACUACCA
rnacentral:tRNA from 1 species